GCGGAGACUUACAGCCGCGCGAAGAGGCGCUGUUUCCUGGCGCUGGUUUUCAGCCUGCGUCUGGAGAUGGAAAAUGAACUCAGAGCGGAUGAGUGGCCUGCUCAGGUUUCCACAGAAGGUGGCAGAGCUAGGAUUUGAACCCUGCUUGUGACUACUUGAGAGGAAAAGGGGCAAACUCCUUAGAAAGUUAUUGCUACUCCGGCACAGCCUCACUUUACCACAAGGGACGUGAAUAUCAAUCAACCUGGUAAUGGAGUCCCCUCAGAUGGCAACUAAGAACCAGCUCACCAAUUAGCUGUGUCACCUGUCUGUGUGUUGGUGUCCACCCACGUCAAAGCUAUCUGUACAGUGCCAAGAACGAUUCGGAUUUGAGAGAUGAAUAUUGUCAGUGUUUGGUGUGUGUUGGGAGGAGACUAGCUGUUGCAACAUCACGGAUGAUUGUCAUCCCCACCGUGAUCCUGCAGAGAUUUUGCGACAGAGAUGUUCAACCGAGAAACUGUUCUCCGUUUUCCCGAGUGCACAGUGGUGAUGUUAAGUACUUCAGUUAGUGCUCUGAUUAAAAUCUAAAUGGCUAUCACUUUCAGAGAAAUGUCCAAAUUUCUUUACCCUGUUCAACAAGGGAUGGAGAACACCACCACUUUGGGACGUAUUUUAAUUUUCUUUUGUGUUCAGGCUUUCUAUACAAGUUACCUGGAGCAAAUUAAUUAAGCCGGAAGGGCUUUUAUGAGCCUGAUUUGAUGGAACUCAUCUUAAAAUGCCUGAGGAUCCUUCAGAGAGGGGACUGUUCCUUUGAAGAUGAAUUACCAUGAAUCAGGAAAGCAUUCUGUUGUUGUUGACCUCACUGUGUGCUGGCAAUCUAGGGCUGGGCCAGGAGGCUAUGAUCUUGCCCUCAAGCUUCUUUGAUGUGCACAGACGCAAAGAAGGUGCCCUUGGAGUGACAGGAGGGUGACUUCACGGGAAGUGAAGAGCUCAUUGUCCUCUGUACGUUGUGAUGACUUCUCGGGUAGCUUACGGCAAAGAGAACCUUUAAGCAAGAACACUGUGUGAAUGUCCAGCUCUCAGAUUCCGAGUCACUAAGAAGUCCCGAACUUGGGUGUCAGUUCCAGGGGCCGGGGUCCCUGGAAGUCUGCCAGGCUUCUCAGAGGGUAGUUUCAACAGGAGUGAAGGCACAUACAAUUAAUUCUCAACAAAGAGACUGUGCCACUGACACACAAAACACAUUGUAUGGUUAAGUGCACAUUUCAAGGGCCUCUGAAUUGUUGAGAGAAAAUGUCUUGUCCAGAGAGUGACUGGAAUCAGGUUCCUAUCUGCUGCUCCUGAAUUACUCGAUUUUCUCGCUGUUGCAUUUAAAUGAUGUUUAGAAAUCAAGUGUACAAAUAGGAGACACGAGCUGCUUCUGUGGAAACAAAGUGGGAAUAAUUAUUACUUUGUGUUCUGAGCAAAAGAAGGCUAGACAUUCUAAUUCUGGAGAUCUAACAAUGGAAGUCAGAAGGAAUAAAAGUUCACUGGGGGAAGGAAUAUAUCCUAGGGCAGAAAGGAGAUCCGAAAGCUGAUUUGCGGGA